rnacentral:rRNA from 1 species
UACGUAGGGUCCGAGCGUUGUCCGGAAUUAUUGGGCGUAAAGGGCUCGUAGGCGGUUUGUCGCGUCGGGAGUGAAAACUCAGGGCUUAACUCUGAGCGUGCUUUCGAUACGGGCAGACUUGAGGGAUGCAGGGGAGAAUGGAAUUCCUGGUGUAGCGGUGGAAUGCGCAGAUAUCAGGAGGAACACCGGUGGCGAAGGCGGUUCUCUGGGCAUUUCCUGACGCUGAGGAGCGAAAGCAUGGGGAGCGAACAGG